UACUAGAGUAGCACUCGCAUAUCAAUAAGCGGAGGAAAAGAAACUAACAAGGAUUCCCCUAGUAACGGCGAGUGAAGCGGGAAGAGCUCAAAUUUGAAAUCUUAAAGGGUUUCCCUUUACGAAUUGUAGUUUAAAGAAGUGUUUUCUGUUGAGGUUUUGGUAAAAGUUCUUUGGAAUAGGACAUCAUAGAGGGUGAGAAUCCCGUAUUUGACCUUUACUUUCAACUUUGUGAUACACUUUCAAAGAGUCGGAUUGUUUGGGAAUGCAGUCCAAAAUGGGUGGUAAAUUUCAUCUAAAGCUAAAUAUUGGCGAGAGACCGAUAGCGAACAAGUACCGUGAGGGAAAGAUGAAAAGAACUUUGAAAAGAGAGUUAAACAGUACGUGAAAUUGUCAAAAGGGAAGCGUUUGACACCAGUGUUGUUUUUCUGAAAAUCAAUUAAAGAACUGUUUAUGCUAAGCUGUUUAGACUUUAUCAGCUAAUCUGUUUAGUUUUGAGCUUUUCUUUAAUGCACUUUUCAGUUAACAAGUCAACAUCAAUUUCUUUUGCUGUAAAAAAGCUUGAGGAAGGUGGCUUGAGAUUCGUCUUAAGUGUUUAUAGCCUCUUGCCUAUGCAGUCGGAGAGAUUGAGGUCUGCAGCGUAGAUCCUUCGGGGCUAAAUGCAUUUGUGCUAAGUUAUAGCAUUUUAUAGACAACUUGUUGACUAUGAUUUGUCUUGUAGCUUACUCGCUUAUGUUAUUUUACCUACGCUUAGGAUGUUGAGUCAUCACACAUCUCU
rnacentral:rRNA from 1 species